rnacentral:lncRNA from 1 species
GUUACUUUGACAUGCUUCAUGGACCUAUCUACACUAAUCUCAUAACAGAGUUCUGGUUAAAUGUCUCUGUUAGGCAAUCUGGUGAGGAUGUUAAGUAAAUACAGUCUAAUGUAUAUGACUUUCCUAUCACCAUUACUCAAUCACUUAUUGCCCAAACAAUAAAGUUUGAAGAGAAAGGUAGUUGUGUUGAACAAUAUAAAUUCAUAAUGUAUUCUCAAACCACCUUCUCUUAAUUAAUGACAACUACAAUAACCUCACCAGUCAUGCUUCUCUCUUCCCUAUUGCAAAAGUUUGGUAUCAACUUCUAGUUUCAAAUCUUCGUCCAAGAGAGAAACAAUUAGAAAUUCUUACUUCAUAUGACAUGCAUCUUUUGUGACCUCUCGCGAGGAAAUAAAUUUCCUCAAACCAUAUGGAAGAGUUCUUUCCGAACUUUUCUCUCAGUUAGGGAUAGUUAAAAGGUUAAAAAGAGCAAGGUUAAAAAUUAAAGUUGAGUUGAGUCAGAAGUUUGAAUAUGUUGAAUAUUUAUAUGUUGUACUUUUUUGUUAUAUGUUGUCAUGCUUCUCUGAUUAUCAUUGAAAUUUUUCCUUUCAUUCUCAAUCGUAUUAUUGUGUAAUCUUUUUUAUUAAUAACAAAGAUUUUG